CCUACGGGAGGCAGCAGUGAGGAAUAUUGGUCAAUGGCCGUAGGGCUGAACCAGCCAAGUCGCGUGAGGGAAGAAGGAUCUAUGGUUUGUAAACUUCUUUUAUAGGGGAAUAAAGGUAUCCACGUGUGGAUAUUUGCAUGUACCCUAUGAAUAAGCAUCGGCUAACUCCGUGCCAGCAGCCGCGGUAAUACGGAGGAUGCGAGCGUUAUCCGGAUUUAUUGGGUUUAAAGGGUGCGUAGGUUGUGUUUUAAGUCAGCGGUGAAAGUUUGUGGCUCAACCAUAAAAUUGCCGUUGAAACUGGAAGUCUUGAGUGUGUGUGAGGUAGGCGGAAUGCGUGGUGUAGCGGUGAAAUGCAUAGAUAUCACGCAGAACUCCGAUUGCGAAGGCAGCUUACUAAGCCAUAACUGACACUGAAGCACGAAAGCGUGGGGAUCAAACAGGAUUAGAUACCCCAGUAGUC
rnacentral:rRNA from 1 species